GACGAACCGUCCAAACGUUGUUCGGAAUCACUGGGCUUAAAGGGCGCGUAGGCGGGCUAUCAAGUCCGGGGUGAAAUCCUCCAGCUUAACUGGAGAACGGCCUCGGAUACUGAUGGUCUCGAGGGGGGUAGGGGCACGCGGAACUGUGGGUGGAGCGGUGAAAUGCGUUGAUAUCCAUAGGAACUCCGGUGGCGAAGGCGGCGUGCUGGGCCCGCCCUGACGCUGAGGCGCGAAAGCCAGGGGAGCGAACGGG
rnacentral:rRNA from 1 species